GUGAAGACAACAGUGAAAAUUAGGCUCACGAAUCUCAUGAUUUCCUAUCUUGACAUAAAUAAAGUGCUGUCACCUGAAUAAAGCAUGUCCUGUUUACAUUUCAGGUAGCUGAUAAACAAGUUUGUCCUAGACAAAGGGAUGUCGUUUUGCCUGUGUCUCCUUGAGUAAGGUGUUGCCAGAGACAAUGGAAGCUUGUUUGCAGCUGAGUCCACAGGAAAAGCAAAUUGAGAGGAGGGUGAGGAAGAUGGGAUAGUGUCAGCUUCCUGGAGCACAAGCAGCAGGGGAGACAAACUUUAUCUGGAGAUACACUUCAGAACACAUUCCAAAGGUUUACUGGACUAUGAAGAGAAGGGGAGAGAACCUCUUAGCUAUCCAUCAUUUAGAGUCAAAAGAGGCCAGAGCUCUUAGAUUCUGGGAAAGGUGGAUCCUUCAACUAUGUGAGCUGAAGUCUCUGGGAGCUGACUAUAGAAGGCUGACUGGUGACGGAAUAUCACAGGUCACAGCUCCUGGAGGGAAUGAAACUGCAGGUACUGAACAUACUCUGGCCCUGCUCAGCUGUGUUGACUCUUUGUUUGGAGGGCUCCUCAUUCAACCAUCCCAGAAGAAGAACUCAUUCAUGCUGAUUGGAUGUCCCCUGGCCACCUUCCCAUUUCAGAGACAGGAAGAAGAAGUAGAUUCCGCACAAGAACUUGCUCAUAUGGAACCAAACUGUCCCCUUUGCUUGUAGGCAAAGAGGGGAUGAAAUGCUUG